rnacentral:rRNA from 1 species
AUUGAACGCUGGCGGCAUGCCUUACACAUGCAAGUCGAACGGCAGCACGGGUGCUUGCACCUGGUGGCGAGUGGCGAACGGGUGAGUAAUAUAUCGGAACGUGCCCUAGAGUGGGGGAUAACUAGUCGAAAGAUUAGCUAAUACCGCAUACGAUCUACGGAUGAAAGUGGGGGAUCGCAAGACCUCAUGCUCUUGGAGUGGCCGAUAUCUGAUUAGCUAGUUGGGGGGGUAAAAGCUCACCAAGGCGACGAUCAGUAGCUGGUCUGAGAGGACGACCAGCCACACUGGAACUGAGACACGGUCCAGACUCCUACGGGAGGCAGCAGUGGGGAAUUUUGGACAAUGGGGGCAACCCUGAUCCAGCAAUGCCGCGUGAGUGAAGAAGGCCUUCGGGUUGUAAAGCUCUUUUGUCAGGGAAGAAACGGUGAGAGCUAAUAUCUCUUGCUAAUGACGGUACCUGAAGAAUAAGCACCGGCUAACUACGUGCCAGCAGCCGCCGUAA